rnacentral:misc_RNA from 1 species
GAUGAAGAACGUAGCGAAAUGCGAUAAGUAAUGUGAAUUGCAGAAUUCAGUGAAUCAUCGAAUCUUUGAACGCACAUUGCGCCCGCCAGUAUUCUGGCGGGCAUGCCUGUUCGAGCGUCAUUACAACCCUCAGGCCCCCGGGCCUGGCGUUGGGGAUCGGCGGAAGCCCCCUGCGGGCACAACGCCGUCCCCCAAAUACAGUGGCGGUCCCGCCGCAGCUUCCAUUGCGUAGUAGCUAACACCUCGCAACUGGAGAGCGGCGCGGCCACGCCGUAGAACACCCAACUUCUGAAUGUUGACCUCGAAUCAGGUAGGAAUACCCGCUGAACUUAAGCAUAUCAAUAAGCGGAGGA